CCUACGGGUGGCAGCAGUGAGGAAUAUUGGUCAAUGGACGCGAGUCUGAACCAGCCAAGUCGCGUGAAGGAUGACUGCUCUCUGGAUUGUAAACCUCUUUUAUAUGGGAAUAAAACAGGGUAAGCAUACCCUCUUGUACGUACCAUAUGAAUAAGAAUCGGCUAACUCCGUGCCAGCAGCCGCGGUAAUGCGGAGGUUCCGAGCGUUAUCCGGAUUUAUUGGGUUUAAAGGGGGCGUAGGUGGCUUGUGAAGUCAGGUGGGAAAGGGCGCGGAUCAACCUUAGAAGUGCUGUUGAAACUGGCAGGCUGGAGUACAGGAGAGGUGGGCGGAAUGCGUGGUGUAGCGGUGAAAUGCGUAGAUAUCACGAAGAACUCCGAUGGCGAAGGCAGCAUGCUGGACUGCAACUGACGCUGAGGCACGAAAGUGUGGGUAUCAAACAGGAUUAGAUACCCUUGUAGUC
rnacentral:rRNA from 1 species